GAAAGUGCACUGGCUUUAUAAACACAUCAGUGGGUCCACUUUCAAAGCUUUUCAUGUCUUCUCUAAUGUGGCAACGAAAAUCUUGGGGUUUUUAGCCACGCUCCACCCCCCACCUCCCCCAACACCCUCUGUAAAAUUAGGGCAAUAAAACAACGUUGUCCCAGCGUUAGCAGAGGGGAACUAAAAUACACAACAGAACUGUAAAAAAAUACACAUGAAGUAAAAAAGUUUUUAAACACAAGCACUAGAACUCCAGGACAGUGGCGUGCCGUGCUGUCAGAGCAUGUUCAGCAUGCCAAUAAGGACUGCAGCACUGCAAUCCCCAGCACCACCAGCCCACGCACCGGCAUCCUUCUCUGCAAAAGACUCUUGCCGGUGGGAGGAGGUGCGCCCCAGGCCCCACUGAGUUUUGGCUAACAGGGUGAGGUGAUGAAGGUGGGAAAGCUGGUAUUGGUCUCCUCAUGGCAGACAGAGGCUGUAGCUGGGGAUGUUGUACCACAGGUGAACACAGCCAUCAGGGAAAUCCCAUAUAUGUUAUCGCAGCCUUUUAAGUAAAUAAGAGUGAGACCGUGCUGAAGUCCUGAAUCAUUAACUGGGUGCAGAGGUACACUCCUGCCAGUGCUGAGCCCCCCUGCCCCACCAGAGGCACAGCCAGAGGUGUCUGCUGACAAACCAGUACAGCUUUAAGCUUGAAAAAUGCAUAUAACUGCUGAUAACAGCACUGCAGACAGCCUGGAAAGUGGAAAGAAAUACCAAAAAAAGAUAAAAAUGGACUAAAACUGGGCUUUGCUGUCCAACAAGGCAUAUACUUUCCCCAUCUCGAUUUCAGGAGGAGUGUACCACAGAGAGCUGCCGAAAGAGAGUGUCAACGCACAAACCCGACAUGCUGAAACCUUGCAUGGAAAAAUCAUCCUUCUGAGUGCUUGAAAGUAAUGGAAAUCUUGCCACUUGGCAAUUUUAGGUUAGUUUUAGGCUAGGUUCAAAACACUGCGCAUAAUACCUAUAAAGUGCAAAAAUCAUGACAGAUUCAGGAAAUUAGAGGGUGGGGGGCUGCACCAUUCAGUAUAUCUGAAGAAUAUAUAACAGAGCAUUUUGGUAAAAAAGCACCAACAACAUUAAACUCCUCAGAAACUCAAGGAAAAAUGUAUUCAGUCUGGAUAGGAGAGAAUGCUAGAGGGUUAAAAAAAAUUAAAUUAUUUGUUAGGCCUAGGUCUUAAAAGUGAUGAAACACAAAAAACAUACUGAAAAGCUGCCUUCAGAAUUCCCACAAGAAACCCAAAACAAAACAAAACAAAACAAAAAAACAUCUCUAACCAAGUCCUAGCUUCCUCCUUCCAUAAAACUACCAAGGGAAAACACUUCUGCAUUUUUCCUUACUCGUACUUUCUAAUUCUGCCUAUAGUCAAAGGCACUGCACUCCCCGUAGGACAGAAGAUUUUACAGCACAUGAACUUCCAGACUGACCUGGUCUCUAUUUAUGAGUUCAGCAAUAUGCAACACCCAAAUCUUCCCAGAAUGCUGUUUAUCAUCCACUCAGAAACUGACAAAAAUAAAACAUUGAUCUAAAUAGAAAAAAUUAAUAGACUCUGAUAUGAACCAUCUGUUCCUAUUUCUGGACACAUUUCUUUAUGCAGCGAUUGUACCACUAAAUCCCUCCCACCGUCUUUAUUAGCUAUUAUUUCUGUCUUACAAAAAUCACAAAGAUGAAAAAACAUUUUUAUGAGUGUACAUGUAUUAUGUACGUGCGUAUGCAUCUGUCAACAUAUAUCUAGGUAGAAAAAGGGGGGGGGGAAGAAAUUAAAAGAAAAGAAAAAUAAUAAUAAUAUAAAAAGAAGAGUGUGAACCUCUGUGUUUAUCAAUUUGUUUACAGCUGAGUUCUUCUAACUGGCAAAGUUUCAGGUAUCACAAGCCCCCCCGGUCUUUUCUCAGACCUAAGACUCCAGGAAUCCUGCAAAUCUUCUGCAGAAGCAGCAAGCUGCACACUGGCAGUUCUCAACAGCUUUAGUAAUCAUCAGUAGCACAGAGUCCCCUAAAAAUUAGUGUUUCUUUGUGUCAGUUAUAAGGAUGUUGCAUUGAAUCCCCUGUUAGGUAUGCUCUUCAAAUUUCACAUCCCUGAAGUUUUCCUUUUCUAGCAUGCUUGAAAUAUUGAACUAAGAACUUGACAUUAUUGGAGGGAGAGCUUGGUGUUUCAACGGCCUUAUUACAAAAGAAUAAUAAAAAAAUGUGGAAAUUAAAAAGUUGGCAGAUUCUAGAAAGGGGCUGCAUAACUUCUUUCUCCUCAUGUACUCUCUAUUCCAAAUAGAGCCAAAAAGUUUUCUUCUAAAAGAAGACUUUUUAAAAAGAAGACUCCGUAUAUCAAUAACCAACAACUGUCACUGCAUUUGCUAAUAAUGUAUAAGAAGAUUAAUUUAAUUAGUCAAGCAGUUAAUACUGCUAUUAUUUGAACUAGUUUUCAGCACUGACACUCUCUUGAAAUUAGUUUUAUAUUCCUCAGGCUAUAGUUUCAGCCUGUUUACAGACCAGUUACAUAGCACUGGUUCACAUUAGUUAACCAUAACACAUUGUAUUAAACAUAUCAAAUUAGCUUUCCAAUCAAAGCUUUUAAAAAGAAAAUACAUACUAGUAAGUUUUAAAGCAAGUGGUUUUAUUCUCUUUUGCUAUAAUUUUGUAACAGCCAUAUGCAUAAAAAAAGUGAAAAAAUAAUUUGGCUUAAAAAAAGGUGUUUCUUGCCUGGAAGAGGAAAAAAAAAAUCCUCAAAGUCAGAAAUUUCUAGUAACAUUAGGAAUCAAGGUAUCACUAAUAGCUAUCACAUGAAAUUUAAAUCUUAGCAAUGUGUCUAAUGAUUUAGAAAAUUAAAACUGUAUGCAAAAUCAUUAGUAAGGAAUUCUAAUUGAACACUAAGUCUUUUUCUCAUCUCUCAAUGCUGUAAAAACUGAAUAUUUUACAGAGCUUUUACAAAUAAACACAGUGCAGACUAUUCCUAACAUACUUGUGAGCAACACAGAAGAUGAAUUCACAGCAGAGGUGAGACCUGAGUGCCUGAAAUCCCACAUAACAUUAAGAGCCAUUUUUCUUGCUUAGAAGAAAAAAAUAAAUUGUAGCACACAAUUAUCUUACAUUUCUGUAAAAUAUACACUUAGAAAUUAAGAACUUGAUUUGACUUUAUAAACACUCUAUAGUCAAGCACUAUACUUCAGGACCUGUAACUCAUUAGAAAAUUCUACCUUAGAAAAAUGAAGAGACUAAUUCUAAACAAAGUAAUUAUUCCUUGAAAACAGACAGACUGCACACAGUAAGACGUUAUCACACUAAUAGCUCUGACGAAAUCCACAGAGCAAUUAAGCUAAAUGAAAAGAAGUAUCAGAAUGUGGUCCAAAACACUUUUGACACCAACUAUUUACAUAAUAAAUGUAAAUACAGAAUGUUUACUACUACCUCUACCCUCCAAGAUGAAGGUUCACUUACCUAUCCAUGUAAAGUACUACUAUAUAUACACCUUAAUCAGGAAGUAUUUUUUAAAAUCCUUUUGUCACUUGAUUGUCUGUCAGUAGUUUGACUCAAACUAUUUGUCUGAGUGAUGAAUGCAAAUUUGCACUUUGGUAGUCAGGCAUAAAAAGAAUAACUCUAUAUAUUUUGAUCUCCAAGGUAAGAAAAACAGCCACUUAAACCAUUUGAAAGUAAGAGACUGCCUCAAAACAGGAGACUGAAAAGUUUUGUCUGAAAGCUUUGUGUGAAAAUUGUUUUAUUUUCAAAAAUUGUUUGUUUGCCUCACAUUUUAUAGCUUGAAAAAGAUUAUUUGACUUGCUUCUAAUUAUUAGUCUUUGCUUCACAAGCUUAACAGAGUGCACACAAACAACGCAUUUAAGCAUCAAUAGUGAUAGACAGCUAAAUAUACUUAUCCAUAUCCUAUGGAUUUAUAAUAAUAACGCUCUGCAUCCUGACAUGUGCUCUCCUCGUUAGCAAAGCCUGAAAUUCUCAGAAGAAAUGAGGCUGAUUUUAUUUAGAAGAUGUAGCAUUCAAAAAUGACCAGCUCAUGAACUGAAUACAUGCCAACAACCUUGCUGCAGGUCUUCAGCAAGUACCUGGCCAGGGAGCAGGGAAAUUGUAUCAACCUCCUCUGAGCAAAGUCAGUUGUGAGGAGUCAGGAGGUGACAUCGUCAUUCUGAGCACUUGUCCUGCAUUUCUCCUUGAAAAACAGGAGAGGUGAUGGACACUUGGUCUAGAAGGGCCUACUUAAUGCAAUACUUUUAAAACUAGUGUAACUCAUCCCUAGGAUAAAAGAAGUCUUGAAACUUUCCCAAAAAUUACAUCAAUGAGAGGUUUUCUAGGCAGUAAAACAUUCUUUUACCUAAUUUCUUUUUAAGACAUUGAUCUUUAGUCUUCCUCAGUUCAUACACUUUUCUUUUUCCUACCAAUGUCCUAUUUGAAUAAAUACACCUAUAUGCAAGGUUCAUGGCUCUUACAGGAGAAAUAAGAUGACAACAUUUUCUUGCUGUCUCACCAACUGUUACUCUUAGGAAAAAGAAAAAACUAAAAACUCUAUUACAUACUGUACAUAUAAACGAUGCUUCUAUAAUCCAGCUGAAGUCAGCAUGUUAAUUCAGGUCUCUAACUGGGUGAAAUCCUGAAAGGUAUUGAGCACUAUCAAUGCAUAUGGCAGUCUGAGAAAGUUGAAGAGGCUUCAUCACAUCCCAGGAUGAGGAAAUGUUCUCAGAUCCCUCCUGCAACACGAUGGUAAAGUUUGCUUUCCAUCUAACAAAUAAUAACAGCUAAUAACUAACCUAUUCUUCCAGAAUUUCACAGACUUCUGCCUAAACAUCUCUUCCUUCUCUCCAGAGCAUUUAACAUAAAUCUUAACCAUUCCUCCUUGAGGCUCCUCCCCUGCAAGAAAGUUGGUAUGCCUUAGCACAGUGAAAUCAUUGCUCUAAAAGCCAGCCUGCUCAUUAAAUUAUUCUGCUAGCUGUGUGUUCUCUCAUUAAAAAUGUAUAAAGAUCAGAUAAUUGCAGCACAUAUUAUUAACCUUGUUUUCCUUCCUUUCAUGUACAGGUUCUGUUUUGCUGCUAAGACAAAGACCUGGAAAGAACAGGGGAAACACUCAGCUAAACUACAAUAUGAAAAACUCUUCCAGCUUUCCUUCAAGACCGCAAGGAAUCACAGUGCAGUCAAAAAUGCCCAUACUUUUACAACAGGUGCAAACCUCAGAAAAUGUUCUGCAGUGAGUGUCCGUCUCCUUCAGCCAUCCGUCCGCAUGCGGCUGGAAAGGCACCAGCCCCACAGUGCGACUGAGCAUGUAAUGGGCUCAAGUUACAGGAGAUUAGCAGGAUUUCCCCUGUAACUGCUGCUCCCAUCUGCCAGAGACCAGACAUUGGAGCUGACAGCAGGAAGACAAUCUCGCCUGUUGCUCUCAUGACCCUUCGGCUGGUGCCCCAGGGACAUGCAUGAGACCAGCACACGGCAGAGGGGGUGUCAGAAAAGGCCGGUGGGCCAAAGCAUGGCAUGAAGCUGGGCAGAAGAGGGAGAGACAGCAAUGAGAGGGAAAGGGAGGAGGAGACGCAAGAGACAAGAGUCUGGAAAUCCUGGAUCUGGUCAAGCAGAAGGUUACAACACAGAGGAAGAUGAUGCCCAAACCAGAGAAGGGAGAGUAAGCAGCACAGGCACCACCAGCCACCAGGAGCCAUCCAUCCUCUCAACAGACCACAUGCACAUAUCCCAACAUGUGGCAAGAUCUUCCGUGGUCUGUUAGUUUGCCUCUAAAGAGGGAGGAAACUUGCAAGUUACCUCAACCCCUAACCCCCCAAACCCAAGACAAGUCACUAACACAACCCCUCAAAAGGUGAGGGUUCAGCACUGCCUCCACAAUCCUAUUUCAAGUGCCACUGCUUCACAGUGCAUACACUGGUCUUCAACCACUGUAGAGCUUUAACUGCAGUCAAACGGGGUUGAGGUGCUCCCAGAUACCAUCCCUAGGACUCCUGAAUCAAAACCACAAAACUAGCAGCCACACAGAUCCUUGUAAUUAUGGGUUACUAUGUUUUAGAUCCUCUUAUGCCCAAGGAUCAGAAGCCCCUCAACUCAAUAGGGAAUGCCAAAAAAAUAUCACAUCCCAUUUGUGGACCUUUUAGCUAGGACUCAUCAAAAAGCUCAAAAGAAAAUGUAUGCUCUUUCUCAAAAAUGGCACUUGAGGAGUGCCAUAACAAGGCAUGAAUUCACGGACUAAAGAAAAAGGUAUUUUUAAAAAUAAUUGCUCUGUACAUUGAGCAGUUGUUCCAAAGUGACUGAUUCCAAAUGGAGAUAUGCCCAUGCACCCAUUCAUUUUCCACAUCAGUUAAAAAGAAAAAGGCCAAAAUUUCAAUUUUCAAGCCGAUUUAUACAACCAUAUUAUAUAUUUCAUUGCAAAACAACAUCAUCUUAGAGAAGCUGAGAAAUUCAGAUGUCAAACUCAACAAAGAAUAACAAACAAAGGUAAAUUCCCAACUCAGAAAAAUGCCAUCUGCUCUGCUUCACGUGCUCCUGUAAUUAAUGAAUCAAGGGAAAAAUGCUGCUAAAGGUGACUAUUACGCACAAUUUUCUGAAUGAUGUUGAUAUAACUUUUGGAGAAAAGGACAAUUUUGGAAGUAACAAAGAGGAGGAGAACUGAAAAAUGCAGAACCCA